CUGUCCCCAGGUCUCAACCAUGAUGUUAGUCCUGUGUUUUAUUGACGGUCUUCCUGUCCCCAGGUCUCAACCAUGAUGUUAGUCCUGUGUUUUACUGACUGUCUUCCUGUCCCCAGGUCUCAACCAUGAUGUUAGUCCUGUGUUUUAUUGACGGUCUUCCUGUCCCCAGGUCUCAACCAUGAUGUUAGUCCUGUGUUUUAUUGACUGUCUUCCUGUCCCCAGGUCUCAACCAUGAUGUUAGUCCUGUGUUUUACUGACGGUCUUCCUGUCCCCGGGUCUCAACCAUGAUGUUAGUCCUGUGUUUUAUUGACUGUCUUCCUGUCCCCAGGUCUCAACCAUGAUGUUAGUCCUGUGUUUUAUUGACGGUCUUCCUGUCCCCAGGUCUCAACCAUGAUGUUAGUCCUGUGUUUUACUGACGGUCUUCCUGUCCCCAGUUGUCAACCAUGAUGUUAGUCCUGUGUUUUACUGACGGUCUUCCUGUCCCCGGUUGUCAACCAUGAUGUUAGUCCUGUGUUUUACUGACUGUCUUCCUGUCCCCAGGUCUCAACCAUGAUGUUAGUCCUGUGUUUUAUUGACUGUCUUCCUGUCCCCAGGU